rnacentral:lncRNA from 1 species
UUUGAUCCGGAACAUUCAAAAUUUUUAAAUAUUGUCCAAAUUUUUUUGUGUAACUGAAGAUGGUUGUUGUUGUUGUUUUGAUGUCUUUUUCGUACAAUUCUUUCUUGUUUAUAUCAAAUAUAUUCACGAGUAUUAACAUAAUCGAAAAUAAAUUAGCCUUUAGCAAUAUUUUAUGUUUCUAUUUUACUUUCUUGUUCUGAUCUAAUAUAUUUACAAGUAUCAAUAUUACCCGAUUUCAACAACUUUUAGUUCGUAAUCUACAAAGUAAAAAUGAAGAGAGCCAUUUUUACUUCGAAAUGCACUAAUAGAUCAUAUAUG